rnacentral:rRNA from 1 species
UACGUAGGUGGCGAGCGUUAUCCGGAAUUAUUGGGCGUAAAGCGCGCGCAGGUGGUUUCUUAAGUCUGAUGUGAAAGCCCACGGCUCAACCGUGGAGGGUUAUUGGAAACUGGGAGACUUGAGUGCAGAAGAGGAAAGUGGAAUUCCAUGUGUAGCGGUGAAAUGCGUAGAGAUAUGGAGGAACACCAGUGGCGAAGGCGACUUUCUGGUCUGUAACUGACACUGAGGCGCGAAAGCGUGGGGAGCAAACAGGAUUAGAAACCCUGGUAGUCC